rnacentral:rRNA from 1 species
AUUGAACGCUGGCGGCAGGCCUAACACAUGCAAGUCGAGCGAGCGGAGGACGGGUGAGUAAUGUAUGGGGACUGCCCGAUAGAGGGGGAUCACUACUGGAGACGGUGGCUAAUGACGCAGACUUUCGAGGGACGCAUAUGGGAUUAUCUAGUAGGUAAGGUAAUGGGUUACCUAGGCGACGAUCCCUAGCUGGGCUGAGAGGAUGAUCAGCCACACUGGGACGGAGACACGGCCCAGACUCCUACGGAGGCAGCAGUGGGGAAUAUUGCACAAUGGGCGCAAGCCUGAUGCAGCCAUGCCGCGUGUAUGAAGAAGGCUCUAGGGUUGUAAAGUACUUUCAGUCGGGAGGCGUUACCGACAGAAGAAGCCCCGGCUAACUCCGUGCCAGCCGCCGCGGUAAUAC